GUCCAGGCUAAUGUGGACUGGGUAGACACACCCAGUCCUAAAGGGAAAGGAAAAAACAGGAGCCUGGAAUGGUGGCACACAUCUUAAUACCAGCACUCAAGAGUCACAGCGAGUCUCUUGUGACUUGAGGCCAGGCUGGUCUACAUAGUAAUUUCAGGGCCCUGGGGCUACACAGUGAGACCUUGUUUAUGAAAAACAGAACAAGAGGAAGAAGAGCCCAGUUCUGUGCUCAGGAUUAGGUUGUCACUUGCUUGGAUACUUCUGAAACAUCCUGUUUUGUCCAUAAAGAAAACUACAAGCCGGGCAGUGGUGGCGCAUGCCUUUAAUCCCAGCUCUUGGGGAGCAGAGGCAGGCAGAUUUCUGAGUUCAAGGACAGCCAGGGCUACACAGAGAGACCCUGAAAAAAACAAGAAAGAAAGAAAACUACAGUAAGCACACUUCAAGACCAGCAAUAUUUCCCUGGAAAUGUGCUUUAUUUUCUCAGCCUGUUCAUUGAUUUGAAGGAAGGCAUUAUUAAUUACUGUGACUCCAUAGUAAAAAUGUUUACAGGAAGUGCUGCCCACAGAGAACCAGUGGUGAGGGUAAUUUUGGAUUAAUCAUUUGUGUUUCCUGAGGUAGAGGACCUCUGAGAACAGGAUCCUUAACAUGUAAGUCUGAAGACAGCACACAGUCUUCUGAGAAAUAAAUCACAGCCGUUUUGCUGAAGCACCCUGUCUGUUACAGGCCAGCACCUCUGAGGUGCAUUUCUAUCAACUGAAAAAACAGUAACUCUUAAGUGAGUUCUGGAGAAGUCUUGUGUCACGAUUAUUCCUCAAUGUGACAGUCUCACGCUUUGCUCUUUCUGGUAAAGUGUCCUAGAGUACAAACUCAUAGGAUAGCUUUCUCCUCGAGGCAAAAAAGAUAAUAUAUUUGAAUAGCAAACUGCAAGGUCUUGUUACAUUUCCUGGAGAACUCGCAGGUGUGGCACCCUGAAACUGGAGCUGAUGGCGCCUUGCACCAGCUGGUCAUGUUGCACUUUGUGUAAUCUGGAGUUUUGGUUGCAACUAAGAUAAUUUUUAAAAAGAGGGAGAAUUUUGAAUCAGCAGCAAUCAUUUUAAUCUUCUCAAAAGGUCAGCUUGAGUAAGCUCCUUCACCUCCUUAGCCUGUGGACAGUGAUUUGGUAGAGAAGGGAUGCUGACAAUUUGAGAUAGCUCCCUCCACUCCCACCCUCCACCCCCACCCCCCAUAGCCAUGGCUGAUGGCAACAGUGUUACUAACCCAGUAACAGCUUCCUUCCUGUUGCACGGCUUAAAUAAAGUGCAGGUGCUAAAGUAGGCUCAGCACAUGGACGGGGCAGGUUUCCCAUGGAACCUUUGUUGUUGCCAAAUGGAACCUGUGCUGAUCCGUGUAGUUUUUAAACAGUCUGACUCUGCAACAGUAGUGUUUAUUAUUUGAGAACUGACUCCUUAGGAUCAUGAAAAUUAUACAACUCUGGACAUAAGAUGAGAGUAUUUUCAAAAAAGUAUUUCUUUGACUAAUUAGGGUAUCAUCACCUUUUGUAUUUAUCUAAAGUCAGUAGUAGUACUGUCCAAACAUGUCUGUUGGCUGGCUAACUGUGAAGAAGGCAGCAGAUGGAACUUACAAAUCUUUAGCUGGGUGGUAGUGGCACACACCUUAAAUCCCAGCAUUUGCGAGACAGAGGUGGGCAGAUCUCUUAGUUCAAGACCAGCCUGGUCUACAGAGCGAGUUCCAGGAUAGCCAGAGCUGCACAGAGAAACCCUGUCAUGAAAAACAAAACCAAGGAAGAAAGGAAAUAACUGAAUCUUGAGUUUGGGGUGGUGGCUCCUGCCUAUAAGCCACACCCUCAGAAUGUCAAGUUCUAGGCCAUAGCAAGAUCUUGUCUCCAAUAUAUAUCCUGAGAAAUGUGGAAAGCUACUGUACUUGUCCACUAACCUUGCAGAAUGAACGAUCGGUCUUUGAGCAGCUCCUCUGACAGAUUGACUUUGCCUGUGGCAUAUUUGCCUCCAAUAUCUGUGCAGAGCUAUGGAAUAAUUGCUUUUCAAGUACAGAAACCUUGCUGGUUAUAAUUGGAGAGAAUUGAAGCACCAAAAAGUCUUUGGGGUGCCCCGCUGUGGAAACUCCUGCUUUUACGGAUGGGAAGGAUCGAGGACUACAGCCCUGCAUGCUGUGUGGUUUUUUUACGGAUGGGAAGGAUCGAGGACUACAGCCCUGCAUGCUGUGUGGUUUUUUUACGGAUGGGAAGGAUCGAGGACUACAGCCCUGCAUGCUGUGUGGUUUUUUACGGAUGGGAAGGAUCGAGGACUACAGCCCUGCAUGCUGUGUGGUUUUGCAUUGUUAACCCACGUUUGCUUGUCUGUUUCCUAAUCCAAACAGAGCGUCAGAAGCCAUGAUGCAUGUAGUGUGUGUGUGCUGCAGCUGGAGUGGGCCCGGACCAGGUAUUUAUAGACCACAUUAACCUUCCAUCCCGUUGUCAUCUGUGCUCGGAAAAAUCUCUGUCUGGGGUCAUUCUGGAAACUCAAGACUUCCUCCCUGUUCAGUCUGGUUACGGUUAGCCUGUAUGUACAUUUAUGUGUAUGUCGCCAUAUAUACACAUAGGCAUAAAUUCUUGUUUAAGAUUGACUGGUUAUGGGAACAGUCCAGGAUAAAGUAUUAUUAUAAAGUAUUUAUUAAAAAUAUUUAUAAAGUAUUAUAUAUAAAGUAUUUAUUAGUAAAAAGUAUUCAUUAUACCUACUACCUCUGAGAGCUGAAGAUACUGAAGAAAAAAAGAAAAGAAUUGUUGGUGUCACAGCAGUUUGUUGUAGAUAACUGAAUUUUUUAAGCUUUUUUUUUUUCCUUUUUAAAAAGCUGGGCUCUAUAAACGUUUAUAAACUUCAAACGGUAAAAUUUUCAUUUUAUUAAGCAGAAAUGGAAAGUUGAGCUGAACCGCUUCCCCAGACUCAUAGAUAGUAGUGGGUGGGCAGGGCAUGCUCCUGCGUCCUUGCCACCUGUGCUUCAGGGUGUGAGAUAAGGCUGCGCUGUACAUAGAGUGAAACUGUCUUUAAAAUAAGUAGUGU
rnacentral:lncRNA from 1 species